CCGGCUCAACUUGUGUGGCAAGGCUAUAUGGCGUUGACCAAUCUCUGCAAAAAUCGAAUUUCCCCGUCGCUACAAGAUGAAAUGGAUGCCCCCAUUGGGGAGAAACACAGACGACGUGCAAUGCCGUUGCCUUGGCCACCGUUGCCACCUGGUGGGGAGAACGCUGUUUCGAGCCACGUUUGAACUCUAGCCACGAAGCGACACUGAAAGCUCUAAGGCGUGCCUGGGGACGCUGAUGGGAGCUGUCUAUCUGUGAUAAGCCUGGCGAAAAAGAGCAGGGAAAACAACACAGCUUUGAAGUCCUUACGUUUAGAAACGACACAUUUUGCUCUGUGGCCUUCAAUCUAUCACACUCAAGAGUCAAUUUGGUAAAAAUAAAAC
ensembl:lncRNA